rnacentral:sRNA from 1 species
GCCAGGUGUGGUGGCGCGUGCCUGUAAUCUCACUGAUUUGGGAGGCUGAGGCAGGAGGAUUGCAAGUUCAAGGUCAGCAUGGGCAACUUAGCCAGGCCCUCAGCAACAUAGUAAGAUCCAGUUACAA